UGCGAUGAUGAGGAAUGUUUAUAUCUCGUUAAUCUGAUGAUUUUAUGAGGAGAAACCCUCAAAUCCAUUCUCUUCUGAGC